CCCUUAGAUGUUCUGGGCCGCACGCGCGCUACACUGAUGCAUUCAACGAGCCUAUCCUUGACCGACAGGUCCGGGUAAUCUUUGAAUCUGCAUCGUGACGGGGAUAGAUUAUUGCAAUUAUUAAUCUUCAACGAGGAAUGCCUAGUAGGCGCAAGUCAUCAGCUUGCGUCGAUUACGUCCCUGCCCUUUGUACACACCGCCCGUCGCUCCUACCGAUUGAUUGAUCCGGUGAAUUACAUAGAAUUUUGCGUUUUACAUGACGGAAGAUGAAGUGUUUUAAACCUUAUCAUUUAGAGGAAGGAGAAGUCGUGACA
rnacentral:rRNA from 1 species